AAACCAACAGGGAUUGCCUUAGUAACGGCGAGUGAAGCGGCAAAAGCUCAAAUUUGAAAUCUGGCACCUUCGGUGUCCGAGUUGUAAUUUGAAGAAGGUAACUUUGGAGUUGGCUCUUGUCUAUGUUCCUUGGAACAGGACGUCACAGAGGGUGAGAAUCCCGUGCGAUGAGAUGCCCAAUUCUAUGUAAAGUGCUUUCGAAGAGUCGAGUUGUUUGGGAAUGCAGCUCUAAGUGGGUGGUAAAUUCCAUCUAAAGCUAAAUAUUGGCGAGAGACCGAUAGCGAACAAGUACAGUGAUGGAAAGAUGAAAAGAACUUUGAAAAGAGAGUGAAAAAGUACGUGAAAUUGUUGAAAGGGAAGGGCUUGAGAUCAGACUUGGUAUUUUGCGAUCCUUUCCUUCUUGGUUGGGUUCCUCGCAGCUUACUGGGCCAGCAUCGGUUUGGAUGGUAGGAUAAUGACUAAGGAAUGUGGCUCUACUUCGGUGGAGUGUUAUAGCCUUGGUUGAUACUGCCUGUCUAGACCGAGGACUGCGUCUUUGACUAGGAUGCUGGCAUAAUGAUCUUAAGCCA
rnacentral:rRNA from 1 species